rnacentral:pre_miRNA from 1 species
UGUUAAAAAUUUCAUCCAUUCUACCGUUAAAAACUAACGUGGCUGAUGAAAUAACUAGACAAUUACACGUGACAUGCCAUGUGUACCUUAUGCUGUACAUACAUGGACUAGUUUUUUUACAAUAAAAAUGGACAAAAUUGUUAACA